rnacentral:lncRNA from 1 species
CUCAUGAGUUAUUCAUCCUCCUGUAACACUAUAACAUCGUCAUCUUAGAAGUAAAAAUAAUCUCUCAUGCACAUUUUCUUCAUUUCCAGGUAUUCCAGGUAUCUCUGGUGGUGCCUGGGAAAUGGAAGUACUGUAGCUUAGUCUCCAAACUGGAUGGCAGUAAGGAGCAAAGAAACCCGUGGGACAACAUGGUCCACUACCAUUGCAGCAUAUCAGUGUGUCAGCAUAAAGUAGGAUUUACUAGAAGAGCUGGAACUAGAUUUGAGAGAGAACAGAAUGAGCUUUUCCAGCAGCCUCUUCUCUUUCCUCAGAGGCACUGAAAGUGCACCAUGGACCCACCAUGAAGUUUCCUCAACUACAAAGUCUGUGAGAUCACUGUGUGCUUGAGUCUCAUCAUCUGCAUCACUGCACAGAUUUUUGUGUCUGCCAUACUUG